rnacentral:rRNA from 1 species
GCGUAUCUAGCGGAGGACAUU